rnacentral:lncRNA from 1 species
GUACUGUACUAUGUUCUGAUUGGUCAAUGAUACGACCUUUCAGAAAGAUUCAUUAUCUUGUGAAAUUAGCACAACAGCUGAGGUGGAUAGUAAUCCAUGCAGGAAACGAUUCAGUUCUUUGUUAAGCAUGUAUUUUCUGUAAAAGUGCUGUUUGCUUUCUUUGUUUGUGUUUUGUGCAAUUGACCCAGCAGAAUGGGCGAGGUCGUAAAUGUGAGGGUAGGUACACAACAGGCUUUUAGAUAAUUUCGAAUUGUUGAGGGUGUGGCUAAACAGCGAGGUACAGUGAGUUAAAGCCUACUGCGGAAUUUAAACAGAAUGCACAGUGUAAGGGAGAGACGCAAAGGUUUUCUGUUGUAUGUUGUAGACCGAUGGCAUUUUUUACAUAGACGAUCUGAAUGAAGUUUUGGAAUAUCUUUUAGAAUAUUCCACCAUAGAAGAAAUUUCGAGUCAGAAUACAUGUGAUUAGUAAAUAAGAUUGCUCAUUUACAUUUUAUAACUAAUAUGUUUCUUUCAUAUUGUAUUUUCCAUCUUUAUGAGGCUUCGUGUAAUUUUUGGAGAACCUCCUCGGACGAGUCCACAGUAGUGAGGGUCGAGAAAUAAUGCCAAAAUAAAACGUUGAUUCUUCCUCUGAAUAAGAUUCAUCUAGCCAUUGGAGUAAAUGAUGAGAGCAAUCACUGAUCAAUCAAUAGCGCUACCUUAUUUGAAUUCAGACCGGCAUGAGCAGACCACUCACUGCGUGGUACGACGAAUCCAACUCCUCUGCCUGUGAGCGCUAGACGACGCGAUGCCGUUGCGUGCGUCGUGUUCUCUAGCAUCGCCGUCGGGCGUAGUUUGAAUCUAUGGUGAAAGAAUGACAGCUCAUUAUCUAUCGAAUAACUUUUAAUACAAUAGAGCUGAGUGAUUGGCUGAGAGGUAUUGUUUCUGCUUCUUGUGCUGAAGAACUCGGUUCCAUCCAAAAUAAAAAGGAGUUAAUCGUCUUCGGCCUGGUAACCUUCUCCGUGCUAAUUCUUUGACUGGUCACAAGGUAAAAAUCAUGAUUCGAUAUUCGUGACAUUGCUCGUACUGCUGUUCCAUCAACAUAAGUACAGUUUUUACCCAUAUUAUUUCUAUAAAACUAAUAUUAAGAUUGGACCUCUGCUACUGUGCAGUCUCUCCCUGGUUCGACUUCCUGGACCCGCCACUGUUGAAGUAUCAUUUCCGGGCUCUGGAUUAAUUAUUACCCUAUAAAAAGGCCCCUAACUUUCAAAAACGUUCCACCGCCGUUGCGUAGCAUCUAGUUUAGCUGUUGCGGCCACAUAAGGACUUAACAGUAGAGUGUCUGCCAUACAAAUAAUCAAAAAAAUUCUUGGUGACAUUGAAAUGUCCUUCCAUGUCUAGAUAAGCACAUGCCUCAUGGCAUCUCUGUUAAGGGUUCCUCGUAUUUUUCGCUACAAAAAAUGCAGCGGUAUUCUUCGAUCUUACAGCGGUAUUCUUCAGUAGGCCUAAUUUCUUUGGUUGUUACGGAUAUUCCUUUUUCUUUAGUCUGAUUUGCCCGACUCUGCAGGGUCUGCCUGAGGUUCUCCGGGUCUUCCUGAUGUUCUGCAGGGUCUGUAUGGGGUUCUGCUGGGACUGCUUCAGGAUCUGUAUCUUACUCAAUGGGAUAUUCCCUCUCAGUCACUUCAGAAGGUGCAAAGUCAAUAGCUGUGAAUAUGUCUGGAUUGAAUGGGUUUACCGGUGCAUUCAAAUCCCUUUGCUGCAUUUCCAACUGAUGCACACCGCAAAUAUGCAAUUAAAAAUAUGUCCAAUGGUUGAAUCUUGUGACUGGUGUGUGGUGAUAUGGAUAGCAGUGGUUGUCAAGGAUAAGCAGGGUCUUUGAUGCCGUUUCAUAUAACCACUUAUCCAGUCUUGUCCGGCUUUCUUCGUGUCUCUGUUAAAAGGAUGAUGGAUACCAUUGCUUUCCGCAUAUUCAUAUGCUAAAAUUCUCAACUCAUCGUAAGUCAGUCCAUAUAACAUAGUCUGAAGCUUCAACAAGUGGGUCACGAAUUCUGCUUCUGCAGCUUGACUGAACACCGUGGAAAAUGUACCUCUCUUUCCACAGUUUACAAGUCCCUUGAUUGAACGAUUCAACGUCGAUUUAGGAACAUCAUGGUUCGAGCUGCUUCUCUGACUAUUUUUUCACGCGACUUAACGGCCUCAACCGCCUUCUCCAUAUUGGACUUAUCCCAGCUAAAUCUAAAUAUGGUGGAGGAUAUGUUAUUUAACAAUAUAAACUUGUUAUUUUUAAGGAUUCCCGAACGUGCGAUAGGCCUAUAUAAUAGUAGUAGGCCCAAACAAAGCUUAUUAUAGUAAACCAACUAUGCAUCAUCUGUACACACAGACUAAAUUCAGCUUUAAUACUAUUAGGGGCAUGAUGGGACACUGUCCCAUGCUCAUGUCUCAGAAUCAGUUAUGCUUCAAAAUCUUAAGGAUACUUGGAUUUUUCUCGCUGAAAUUUCUUCUACACGUGUAAUAGGAAUACUGUAACAAAGCAUGAGGAAAUCACCCCCUCUAUCCUAUUAGUCUUCGAAAUACAGCCAUGUCCAUCCAAACUAGGUUUAGGUUUAGCAAAAUCGGCAUAAGCCAGGAUGGGAGCCUUGUCAUCUUCAUCAAAUUCGAUUUGCCAGUAACCUUACUUCAAAUCCAGAGAUGAAAACUUUACGGCUCCAUGCAGGGCGUCGAGCGUAUCUUCAAUCCUCGGUAAAGAAUAGCCUCUGUCUGUGUCAUGCUGAGAGAAAACAGAUUCCCACUUGCGGAGGAAUUGUUUUACUUCUUGUACACGCGAAAUCUCGUUUGGCCCGGGCGCACUACUUACGCACUCGUCCCGAUGGUCUGCAUGUACUCGGUAGCCUGGUAAUAUACCGCUUGUCACACGCACUCUCUGAUUACAUGAUUUGUAGUUUCUGCAUUUGACAUUCAUUUGUAUAAAUAUGUUAUUAUAAUAUUACAUAAUUGUGACUGCAAAGGUAAUAAAUAUUAAUCCAAGGUCUUCAGUACAAAACACUUGAGACCACUGGCAAAAUUAUGGAUGAUUACAUAAUAAUUUCAUAAUUGUGUGGGUAUGAAUUUUUAUAGUGUUGAUAUAUUAAUUUAUAUUAGUGACGUUUGUUUAUUCUUUGUUUAAAGCAGGGGGGGAGGUUGGGGUGGGGUGUGUGUUUUAGUUUCCCCUGAUUGUUCAUGCACGUGGUCUACUGGGAUGUGUGAAAUAUGCGUAUAUCGACAUAAAUAGAUCAUGACAUAUGCCUGUAUUUUUGUAAUUUAUUAAUUUCAUUCUUUGUAAUAAUGUGAAAGUCUGUUUGGUGAAUUGUAUUGUAUUAAUUAAAAUAUAGUAUUUGAAGAAAAUUUAAAAA